UAAAAGACACUGAAAGGGAAAAGUAACUUAAUGUCACCAUUAAGGGAGAAAAUGCCUUUGACUGAGAGCAUUUUUAUGGAAAAAUUAAGUGAAGUUCACCCCUGGAGUCAGCAUCGGGACCGUUGCUAAUAACGUAAAGAUGCCUCGGUGAAAAGCCGUUAUGAAAUGAAGAUGAGCAUGAAAAAGAUGCUAAUUAGGGUGGUACCGCGAUGAUAAACCUCGUCCCUUUG
rnacentral:ncRNA from 1 species